GAUGAACGCUGGCGGCGUGCCUAAUACAUGCAAGUCGAGCGAACGGACGAGAAGCUUGCUUCUCUGGUGUUAGCGGCGGACGGGUGAGUAACACGUGGAUAACCUACCUAUAAGACUGGGAUAACUUCGGGAAACCGGAGCUAAUACCGGAUAAUAUUUUGAACCGCAUGGUUCAAAAGUGAAAGACGGUCUUGCUGUCACUUAUAGAUGGAUCCGCGCUGCAUUAGCUAGUUGGUAAGGUAACGGCUUACCAAGGCAACGAUGCAUAGCCGACCUGAGAGGGUGAUCGGCCACACUGGAACUGAGGCACGGUCCAGACUCCUACGGGAGGCAGCAGUAGGGAAUCUUCCGCAAUGGGCGAAAGCCUGACGGAGCAACGCCGCGUGAGUGAUGGAGGUCUUCGGAUCGUAAAACUCUGUUAUUAGGGAAGAACAUAUGUGUAAGUAACUGUGCACAUCUUGACGGUACCUAAUCAGAAAGCCACGGCUAACUACGUG
rnacentral:rRNA from 1 species